UUGAGAAAGUGUGGUUAAGUUUGUUAAUUAUGAUAUAACAACAGUGUUUUUUUUUUUGGUAAUGCUUGGAUUAUGCAACAAAGCUCUAUUCCAUGGGAGAUGGCUUGUAAUAAUUGCUAUAAGUUGAGUGAGUUGUUUGUCUCUUUUUGUUUUCUCUAAUUUUUGUUAGGAUUAUAGCUUUGCUAUGCUCUGCUCUGCUAAUUGUAAUUCCUUGAAGGACAAAAAUAAAAAGGAAGCUAAGAUAUAAUACGGUAAUUGUUAUGAAUCUUGUGACUAAGGUUUGAUUAGAAAUGCAGAAAUUUUGGCUAAAGGCUCCAGUCCAUUGAAGUAGGGGGGGCACCCGCCUCUCUGAGUCAUUUGUGAAUCAUAGGUUUAAUUUUGUGGUGCAUGGCAUUCAACUGGAGGAGGUGACUUGUAUUGCACCAAUUGACCCCUGGAAAUGAGUGGCCUUUAGUAGUUUGCUGAUCAAAAAAAGUUUUAUGUGAAUUACCGUUCUUUGAUUUCAAGCUUUGCCUUGCAUUGAAGUUUGUUGGGGUUGGUCAUUAGCAAACUUCUGCAAAAUAGUAUGAAUUCUUAGAUACAUCAGAAGCUGUUGGUUUUUGUUGCUGAUCAGUUCAUAUUGGUGUUAUUGUUCUCAUGUUUAAGUUUAGAUCACUAUAUGAGGUUUUUAACUCACCUAUAUUUUGUUUUUGUGUCUCUCUUUUUCCUUGUUAGUUAACCAUUUCUAUGUUGAAUGGAGGUGAGCUAAUUACUUCUAUUUUAGGCAAUCCAGUUUUGGACAAAAUUGGGAGAUUCUUCAAAGAUUUAGAUCUCCGUGGCCCUCAGGAUUGGGAGCUGAGGAGUUUCAGAGACAGAUGGCAGAAGCCCCCUGUGGCAUUGAACAGGUACCUGAUGUUGAGUUGAUCGAGCAUCAGAAAGAAAAGGAUGGUGAGACAACAGAUUUGCAUGGUGAAAAUGGCAUGCCUGAAGAAAGGAAAGAAUUCGUUCCACCUGCUGUAGGAAUGGAGUUUGAGUCUUACGAUGAUGCUUAUAAUUAUUAUAAUUGCUAUGCUAAGGAAGUGGGUUUCCGUGUUAGAGUUAAGAAUUCUUGGUUCAAGCGAAACAGUAGAGAGAAGUAUGGUGCAGUGCUUUGUUGCAGUAGCCAGGGUUUCAAAAGAAUUAAAGAUGUUAAUCGUUUAAGAAAGGAAACACGAACUGGUUGUCCUGCAAUGAUAAGGAUGAGGUUGGUGGACUCCAAGAGGUGGAGAGUGCUAGAGGUUACACUUGAACACAACCACCUGUUAGGUGCUAAGAUAUACAAAUCAAUUAAGAAGAUGGGAACGGGAAACAAAAGGAAGUCACAGUCAAGUUCAGAUGCAGAAGUGCGAACUAUUAAGUUGUACAGAGCACUUGUAAUAGAUGCAGGGGGUACGGGGAACUCAAGUCCAAAUGCAAGAGAAGUCAGGAAUUUUUCUGAACUUCCCAAUCAACUGAAUCUUAAGAAGGGUGACGCACAAGCUAUUUAUAACUACCUUUGCCGUAUGCAGUUGACUAAUCCAAACUUCUUUUAUUUGAUGGAUCUCAAUGAUGAAGGGCAUUUGAGAAAUGUGUUCUGGAUUGAUGCUAGAUCAAGGGCUGCAUGUGGCUACUUCAGUGAUGUCAUUUAUAUUGACAACACAUAUUUGUCAAGCAAAUAUGAGAUCCCACUUGUGGCACUUGUUGGAAUAAAUCACCAUGGCCAGUCUGUUUUACUGGGUUGUGGCCUACUUGCGGGCGAGACAACGGAGUCUUAUAUUUGGUUGUUCAAAACAUGGCUUACAUGUCUAUCAGGGUGUGCUCCACAAACAAUUAUUACGGACAGGUGUAAAGUUUUGCAGAGUGCAAUUGCAGAGGCAUUUCCAAGAUCUCAUCAUUGUUUUGGUUUGUCACACAUCAUGAGAAGAGUUCCGGAAAAAUUGGGAGGAUUGCUUAACUAUGAUGCAAUCAGAAAAGCCUUGAUUAAAGCAGUGUAUGAGACUUUGAAAGUGAUUGAAUUUGAAGCAGCAUGGGUAUUCAUGGUCCAGCGAUUUGGAGUUGUUGAUCAUGAAUGGCUACGAUCACUGUAUGAAGAUCGAAUUCGGUGGGCUCCUGUUUAUUUAAAAGACACAUUUUUUGCUGGAAUGUCUGCUGCCCUCCCAGGUGAGGCAUUGAACCCAUUUUUUGAUAGAUACGUGCACAAACAAACUCCUUUGAAAGAAUUUCUUGACAAGUAUGAACUAGCCCUACAAAAAAAGCACAAAGAAGAAACCAAUGCAGAUAUUGAGUCUAGAAGCUUAGGCCCAAUGUUGAAAACCAGAUGUUCUUUUGAGUUGCAGCUGUCAAAACUGUACACUAGGGAAAUAUUUAAGAAGUUCCAAUUCGAGGUGGAAGAAAUGUACUCUUGUUUUAGCACAACACAGAUACAUGUCGAUGGACCGAUUAUAAUAUUUUUGGUUAAGGAGCGUGUUAUGAGUGAAGGAAAUAGGAGGGAAAUUAGAGAUUAUGAAGUCCUGUAUAAUAGAAGUGCUGGAGAGGUUCGAUGCAUUUGCAGCUGCUUCAACUUCUACGGGUAUUUAUGCCGUCAUGCGUUGUGUGUGCUUAAUUUUAAUGGGGUGGAGGAGAUACCUUCGAAGUAUAUAUUAUCGCGGUGGAAGAAGGAUUUCAAGCGCUUAUAUAUUCCAGAUCACGGCUCUAGUAGAGUUGAUGCUACUGAUAGGGUUCAGUGGUUUAACCAGUUAUAUAGAAGUGCUCUGCAAGUUGUGGAGGAGGGGGUGAUUUCUCUAGAUCAUUAUGGUGUUGCAUUGCAAGCAUUUGAAGAAUCACUCAACAGGGUUCAUGAGGUAGAAGAAAAGCAAAAAUAGACAUUACUAAGUAAAGGAAGCAAGAUUUAUUGUAAAUAUAAUUGCAGUCUUUUGUCUUUUUUCUUUUUUUCUUUUAAGCCAAAAAUGGAAUUUACGUUUGUUAACAAAGAAGAAAAUUGCUAGAUUACAAUGUAUGAACUGCUUGGAAAAUUGAUGUUAUAUAUUAUUAAGUUAAAUUACUAUCAUUAUUU
rnacentral:misc_RNA from 1 species